ACCCUUGUGGAGGAGGACGCCGAAGGUGGGGCUAAUGACUGGGGUGAAGUCGUAACAAGGUAGCCGUACCGGAAGGUGCGGCUGGAUCACCUCCUAACAGGGAGACAACAAAAUGUUUAAUAUUAUUAUUUUGUCACCUUAGGUCGAUCGGUAUCUCACGUUCUUAAUUAAUUAAGAAUUUCAUUUCCUAAGUUUUUCUAGGUCACACCCAUUAUUUUCCUGGGCCAUUAGCUCAGGUGGUUAGAGCGCACCCCUGAUAAGGGUGAGGUCCCUGGUUCAAGUCCAGGAUGGCCCAUCUCUCUAUGUUGGGGGUAUAGCUCAGUUGGUAGAGCGCCUGCUUUGCAAGCAGGAUGUCAGCGGUUCGAGUCCGCUUACCUCCACUGAUUACCACCUCUUCCAUAAUCUGUAGAAAGGAAAUGUUUUGAGUUGUGAUCAAAUUCUGAACGAAUCUAGCUUCCUAAUGAAAUCAUUAAGAUGCUGGACUCAUUGAAUAAAUUUCAUUGUUUUCAGAGAACCUUGACAACUGCAUAGAUUAUUUUUAAAGACAAUAAGCAUCUUGUAAUGAUGCAGAUUUAUUAUUUGUGCGAAUGCAUUAAUAACAAUUCUAUUAAGCUGAUGCUUCAAUUUUGAAGUUAUUGGUCAAGCUACAAAGGGCUCACGGAGGAUACCUAGGCACACAGAGGCGA
rnacentral:misc_RNA from 1 species